AACGCCAGGAGAAACGGAGCUGGGCAGCGGUGACACUGGACGGAGCAGCCAGGGCUGCGAUGGACUCGGGCUCACACUAGGCGUCUCCCUCAGCGCAUUUAUCCAGCUGCCCCGCUGCGCACAGCCUGGUACGGGCAAGGACAGCCAGGAAGACGCUCGUACAAAGGAGCUGUGAACGUGCUGUGCAUACAGAGAAACAAAUCUAACAUGGGUCGGAAGAAAUUACUGAAAUUGUCUAUUUAGUGCAAUGCAAAAGUGUGGAGACAAACACUGCUACAAAAGACCAGGUUAGAACCUACAUUUUAGUCUGAGGUAACUGAUGCUUAAGUCCCCUUCCUGUAAGCUGUCAAGUUUACGUUCUCCUUUAGGGGUACUUAGGCCCAAUGGUGAAUAGUUUAACUCAUUUCUGUCAACACUACAGACAAGAUAAACAUAGACAUGCAAAAAUCCAAGGCUUGAAAGGGGAUGCUGGCAUACGUUCAGCACCUGAAGGGUGAAGUCAGUAGAGAAAUCAGUAGUUCCCUGCAAAUUGUCCUUUGGUCCUUAAGAGCUUAAGAAAUGUUCUUGAUUUCUCAUCGCACAUUGUUGAAAACUUACUUUGAAAUAGAAUUUUGAAACACAUGAAACAUUUUUAUUAUACAAAUGUUUCCAGACUGGGUGACUGAAGGCGCUAACUCCAUGUCAGGAAAUUGCCAGGGAUUGUUUCCACAUUUCCACGUCCAAAAUCCCACAGACAUGGGCCUGCGUGCUGCUCUUCUUCACCCAUAAAACUCCCACAAUCAGUGUGUGCACAGGAACUCUGACCUACUGCAUGUGUGUGAAUUUGCUGUGUGAUGCCUUCAAGCAGGGCUAGAUGUCCAUCAGUUCCAGACAAGGAGCUGUUGUUCCAGCCACAGGAAAUCGUAAGGCUGUUCCACAACCGGUGUCACUGCACAGAGUGCUUUGUCAGCAGGGAACUAAAUGAAGGUGAAAAUCAUAACUUGCUGGAAAGUAGCUGACUCAGGAAACAGAGGACAUUCUUGGUCUACUCUGACAAAAUUUUUUUCAAUAUUUAUCUACCAUUUGUAUACCCCCUCAAUGUAUUUUUUCCCCCUCUAUUCCUCACAGGCAUUUAAACUACUUUGUGUGGAGGAAGUAGCAAGUCAGCAAGACAGCUGACUACAGCGGCCAUGAGAAGGCAGCUAAUGGAUAUGUGGUGCAAGUGAAGUUGCAGAGCACUCCAGAAGGUGGACCUGGCAAAGCCUAAAUGCCAUAGCUGGCUGAGGAGAUUGCAUGUGGACAAGAAGUGUCACUGCUCGCAUGAAAGAAGGGGAGAAAAUCUAUUACUGUGGGAUAAGAUAAUGUUAUCUCUACUGUGUUCCUAGUCGAAAAAAAGUGGAUGAACUCUCUGCUCUGCUUUCAGAGAAAUUUGUUUCUGCAGUUUUCCAACAACUCUUCAAUCGGUGGAAUAAAAGAGAGUUACAGUCUACACACUUCCAAGGGCUUAAUCCCCCCAGGAGUCCACUCAAUCAAUAUACUGCUGUUGCCUAGUUAUCAAGAGUUCAAUCCUGCUACCAUCGAGGGAACAUUAGAUUCCCCAUCGAUUCAGCAAGGGAGGAUUAGUUCCAGGCAGGAGAUAGAUAAACUGAAACAAAAGUUCUUACAGAUUUUCUGAUGAAAAGAUGUUGCCAUCAUUGAGGCAUUUAGAGCUUCUUCUCUCUGGCAGGCUAACAGCACUCAAUUUUGUAGGUAAGAAGUCUAAAAUGAUGCUCUAUUAAUUCCCGGUCUCUGUCUUAAGAAACUUCUAAUGGAAGUAUUUGUAAAUUAACUGCUUUAAAGAUACUGCUUGUAUGCAUGUAGAAAGCGGGUUACUUUUCCUCUAGUUAAUUAGAAGGAACAAUCAUCAUUUAUCUACUGUUGGGCAGUGCUUAGGCAGGCCCCUGACCACAGCUGGCAGGGUAAUGAUCACAGUACUUUGCAAUCUGACAAGGAUUUCUGGCAUGUGGAGCAAGAUCCACCAGGACCUGACCACUGACUUCCACGGCAAGAUUCCUGUCGGCUUCAGUUAACUUCAGUGCUUGCACUGUUUGACUCUCACCACAAUCUCAUCUUAUCAGCACAUCCCGAUCACACACCUGAGCUCAACUGAGAGGCAUUUAAGCUUGCACUGACCCAACUUGGCAGGUCCCCACAUCCCAGCAUAGUGCUGUACAGGUUACCACAGACUCUGAAACAGCAUGAGCAGAAUACUGAAGUACUAAUUAAUCACCCUUUCUCCUUAGCAAGGCUAAUUGCCUCAGGCUUGAUGCCUUGCUGAUGCAACUCUUCUGUGUGUGCUUUUCAGUAACUUCAGCAUUCUGCAAUGCUAGCAGGCAGCUACAGACACAUCUCACAUCCAUCACUCUUUAUACAAGGUACUCCUGCUUCUCAAGCACUGAAAGGCAAACACACUUUUCCUUUUAGGAGAGGGAUGUUAUUCUGAGAAAUAACUAAAAAAC